CUGUAUGACCCUUGGAGAGCUCAGCUGGAGGGCAGACCCAGGAUCAGAGGCCCUGGAAGGGCUUGUUUUUGACUAAUUGUGUUUUACAGAUGAAGUGGAUUACAAAGAAAUAACAAAGAAAAGCUGUCUUUGCUGGGAAAACGCCUGUUCACUAGUCAUUUACAAAUUCUUCUUCAUACAGAUGGAGUCUCCCCUAGCCCAGGUGCUCGGGACCCGGAGUGUUGUCUGACUUUGGAGGAUUUGUAAGCACAUGUAAGAUAUCUUGGUGACAGGGCCCAAAUUUAAACACAAAACUCAUUUAUGUGCUAUAUAUUUUAUACAGAAUCUUGGGGUGAGUUUAUACAAUAUUUUCCAUAGAUCAGUGCAGGAAUCAAGAUUUUAUGAUGCAGAGAUUUCUGCUCGGUGUCAUUUUGGUGUUCGAGAGUUCUGGCUUUGGAGCUUUUCAGAUUUGGGGUUUUUGUAUCAGGGAUGUCAACCUGUAUGGCCUUUGUUUCAGCAGAACUUUGGUGAGAAGAAACAUUGACGUUUAGACCUCAGUCAUUUGAAUUACAAUGAGCUGCUUCCAACUGUUUCGGAGAUUGUGAUUAGUGUUGGCCGUCAAAGGCUUCAGAGGAUAGCUGUGCAGCGUCGGUUCUGGGAAGGUGCUAUGGAUACCGUCACAGUUUGUUCAAGGUGAGGCUCCUGAAAGCCACUUCUAGAAGCAGCUCUGCUGGGUUGCGCUCAUCCCUCUUGCCCUGGGGCUGGGUGCGAGCCUGGCAGGGCUGCAGCUGGGGCUGUGGUUGACGUUGGCACCAGACAGUGGCGUGUGAGGGAGCUCGAGGUUCUCUGGGAGAAUCCUGGUGUCGUUGCCAUCGCAUCCCCAACCUCAGACAAUGGAGGAGGUGGUGGUGAACGACGCCCAGUCAGUGGGUGCCCACCGUGCAGCAGGCACAGCUCCAGGCUCCGAGGACCCAGCACUGGAGAACAGAAACAGAAAUCCCUGCCCUCGCGGACCUCAUGUCCUUGGAGCAUGGGCGGUACAGACGGCCCCUCGGAGCUGAAGCCUGGCGGCUCCAUUAGGGAAUAUUUGUGGUCUGGCACUUCGCUGUCCGCCGCUGGACCCAGGACCCCCAGGAAGGAGCUCUGCACUUGUGCGUUCCCCCUCAGCCUCCUGCACUCCUCUCUGAGUCGAGUCUAAGAGAUUUUAGGCGAGGAGAAGCCCAUGGGGCAGGUGCCUGCUGAGGGUGGCAGGGUGGCCCAGGCACCUCAUCCCUGGGAUUCCGCCCAGAAAACUACAGGCAGAGGGGAAGAACUCGUGGUGGUUUGCACAGAGGCAGAAACCCUGGAAGGAGGAGUAGGAAGGCUGCAGGCCUUCUCCUCAGCAAGCAGGAGUGUAACUGGUGAAGGCUCUAUAGAAGGAAAAAGUAACCCAACCAUUACGGAGAGUGGAGCAGAGGUCACGGGAGGUUAGGAAGGGAAAGGAGGGGCUGGAGCCCAGCCUCCAAAACAUGGUCACACGGGAAGGGCAAGUCCCAGUGUCUUCCGGUGCAGUUGGGAGACUGGAGUUCAACAUUUACUGUGUGUUUUGUGCAUUCAAAGCUCCCAACACGGCGGAGUGACAGCAGUCAGUUCUCGGAGGUGAAGGAUAAUCACCCUUUGCUCACUGUGCACUUGUGUCAAACUGUCACACUGCACCGGAAGUUUUGUUUGUUGUGUUUUGGUACUGGGGAUCGAACUCGGGUUCUUGCGCUUGCGCAGCAAGCGGCGAAACCACUGCGCUAAAUCCCCAGGCCGUGCACCAGAAGGAACAGGGACAGUUAGCCAACUUCUGAGGUGGACGAAGAUUAUGUAACACGAAGAACAGAAAGGAAAAGAAUAAAGAAAAACGAGUAGGACCUCAGAGGAAGGCGGACGCCAGCACCCCGUGCCCCUGCUCAUGAAAGGACGCAGAGCUUUCUCGGGGAACAGCUAAACCGGGUUAUUUUACCUGCUCUAGGGGUUGUAAUUUACCUCAACAUGUCUUUCAACUUUUUAAAUUAAGAACCACAAUGAAUAAAACAUUUAACAUUGCAAUAAUCUAGCGUCUACGCGCAUGUGCAUCAGAAACAGGAAUUUUGUGAAAUAACGCUUUUUAAAAAAAUAUACUUUGAUCUAAAAUUCUUUCUUUGUAAUGUUAUUUGUGUCUAUGGUCACAGUCCCCUGAAAGGACCUCAUGGCCCUCUACUGGGUGGCCUGCUGGUGAAAACCCUCGCUAGAGGGCACUGCUGCCCCCUUGCCAGCGAGUGAAGCGGCUGCCUCGCCCAGUGGUUCUUGUUAUCUUGUCUCCAUCAUCAGCCCUUCAUGCCGCCUGAUUUGCGCGAGAGCCAUUCAGUGUUCAUCAGUCCCAGCAGUCAGUGAAAUCGGAAAGCUGUUGAGUGUUGGGUGCUAGCUGCAGGAUGAUACAUGCUACGAAGUGACAUACCCGGAAAUGGGACAGGGGUUUGAGGUAUGGACUUGAGUCAGGAUCUGAAAGAGAGGAGAACGAGCCGUGGACAUUUGUUGGGGAAGAGCCUUGAUGGCAGAGGAAGACACAGGUCCAAAGGCCCUGAGGUGGGCCACGCCUAGAAAGUUCAAGGUCAGCAAGAAGGACUGACUGGCUGGGGUGGGUUGAGCAGAGGAAAACAGUAAGAGAGGUCGGAGAGAGAGACAGCAGGAUCCGAUGGGAUGGAGCCCGCUUGCCCACUGCAAGACUUUGGCUUCCACUGGGUGGAAGGUGAGACGCUGUUGGAGGGUUCCGAGAGCGUGGGGCUCUGGGCUGACUCACAUCCAACCAGACGGUGCUGGCUGCCGUGCGGAGCCCGGGCCGAAGGGGCGAAGACAGCUCAUCUGGGAAGCGAGCCGUGCAGGCGAGGCGCUGGGGAGCAGCUCUGUUCUGCAGGUGGAACUGACUGGAGGGGUGAACUAAUGCGGCGCAGCCAGGAUGUGAGCCCGAGACCACGGUGCAGGGGCUCUCAGACGCCGUUCCGUGGUGAUCGCAGAGUUGAGGCUGAGAGAGACAUUUGCAUUUAAAGUAGAAGCCCGAGAUCUGGGGCCCACGAAGGAAACUCAUCAAGGCUGUGAACCUGGCAGGGGAGGGGCUGGGGCAGACGUGCCCAGCCAACAGCUCGGUCCCGCUGCCCUGCUGUGCCGCAGACCUCUCGCCCCUGAGCACGCUGUGCUGGCCAAGUGCGAUCUCCGGCUGCUUGAGACACCCUGGACAGCCGUGCUCUCCAUCUCUCUUCUUGUUUCACCUGAGCACGGACAAACCGCUAGGGAAAACUGGGUAUGUCGCCUGCCUUGCUUUGGAGCAGAGGGACAUCUCCUCUGGCUUUCUGUCCAGUCUGCUCACCUCUGGGCCCCAGGAGCAAACUGUUCCCUGGGCUGCAGGCAGGGGUCCGGGAGCCCCCCAACACGUGCUGACGUCGCCCCCUGGUGUCCUACUUCUGCCUGACCCUUUCCAGCUCCUCUGGCCCCACAUCUGAUCCCCAGAAGCCAGGUAACCUUAGUUCUUUCUGACUCAGCAAGAUGUACCUGGAAGGGGCAGAUGGAAGGCUGCGCCCUAGUUUCGGGUUCCGGACAGUCUGGUUUCGCUGGUACUUUGGACACUUCCUGUACAUUCGUGCUCUGAAGAGUCUGUCUUCACUCAGCCAGCAGACCUCCGUGAGUCCUUCCAGGAAUUCAGACGACAAGAUGAGGCCUCCCUGUGUGUCCUGAGAAAUGUGAAAUGCUAAGCAGAACACGAAAUCCAGUGGUGGAAGGCGCUGUAAAGGAAACCACAGGUUCCAGUUCUCAGGUUCUGCCGGGCAAUGUGCUUUCCUGUGGUGUCCAUUUACAUGGAAGAGAUUAGAGGAAGGGGCCUCCCUGGGCCAAGGGUCCCUGCUGCUCCUCUGCCUGCUGCGGCUGCUCCUGGAAUUCCCAGCCCACAGACUACAACCGGACCCUCCUGGUUACCAUGCAAGCCUUGCACUGGGCAAAAGACUUUCAGCCCAAAUACCCAGACCUUCCUUUUCAUCUUUAUUUUUAAAAUUGACUUUGCUGACUUUGGCAAACUCCCCUUAUAACACUUAGUGCAUUUACAAGUAAUAGAAUGAGUUGGGAAUGCAGAGCAAGUGUUUCCUGAUGAUAUGGUCGGGCUCCAUUGUUUACCAUUUCUCCACAACAAGAGGCCGGGCAGUGUUUUGCACACCGGGUGUUCUUUCAAUAACAUGUUUGGCCGACUGAGUCAGUGGCGCAUGGAGAGCAGUGUUGCCUGGGUGUGGGUCUACACACUGACAUAUUCUUCAUGGGCUGAGGUGGUUUACACACCACAUCGGGCUGUUUACAGUCAGUAUAAUGAACAUUGCAAAGUGUAAAGAGAUUAGUAUGAGUAUUUUAAAAGCAAGCUAAAAUGCAUUUUAUCGGAAUGACAGGCAGAAAAUUUAAAACAAUAAAAUAAAACGAGAUAGAAUCAUAUUUUUGGGAGCCAGUGAAACUAUUUUGCUUGUUGUUAUUAGUAAAAUAGCAAGCAGUGUGUGGAGUCCAGCCUUCCUCCGGAAUAGUGAGUCCAGAGGAGGUGAUUUGCUAUGCCAAGAUGCAGAAAAACUUGAAGAAGCAGCCAAACUCAAAGUAUUUUGAAGGCUUACAAUGAUUUCAUAGAUGGGAACUUUUUUCAUUGCACUGAUCAGCUUUCCUGUCUUUUGGAUAAAACACCUGACACUUAAAAGGCAGAGAGGUUUACUCAGGCUCGUGGUCGCAGAGGUUUCAGACUAAGGGUGGCUCCAAGGCAGAAACAUCACGGUGGAAGGGUGUGGUGGAGCCAGGCAGCUGGGAAGCUGGGGGAGCACACCAGAGGGAGAGGCCAGGGACCACAUGCAGCUCCCAAGCUCAUGGCUCCCCAUGGGCUGGAGUGUGCUUUACUAAUCGACGUAGGAGCGGUUAAGCAAAUCAAGCUGAUGAUCAAGAUUAACUGUCGCACUCUCUAAGCUGAUCACAGAGACUCCAACCAAGAAAAUCCAUUAGGAAAUAGUUAAGGGAAAUACAGACUCAGACCUGCUUUGAGAGUUUAGUGACUCUCCGUUCAUUACAGCUUCACCGAGUGUUUUUAACCAUGUCUUUGAAUUUGAGCAGAAACUUUUAUUUUAAAAUAAUUUCACACUUCCUAAAGAGUUGUUAAAAAAAGUAGAGAAUUUUCCAGUAUACUUUUCAUUCAAUUUCUCCUAAUGUUAACACCUGACACAUCCAUAUUAUAAUGCUCAAAACCAGGAAACAAACAUCAACUCAAACUACUAACUAAAGAACAGGGCCUACAUGGUAUUCUAUUGAUGCCUUGCCCAUUCCAUGUUGCAGUCUGAAGCCUCAUCUUGCAGUUAGUCACUGUGUGUCGCCACCGUCGUUCCCCUUGCAGAAACCUUUAAUAAUGACAAUGACAGUAACUAUGCCUUGCAUUCCCUCUGUCCUCCACAGGCUUAGAUCUCAUCCCAGAGAUGUAGGCGUGCACCUCACAGUGCUGCAUCUAAGAAGUCGAAACCCCAGCAGGUGACUUCUCUGGCAUGAGGUUCUCUGCUAGCUUCCCUGUGUCCCUGGGGCUUGUCAGCACCCGGAGAAGAGUGGGCACUCUGGUUGGGUGUGGUUUGUGUGUGCUGGAACUGGGUUGCUGGGUGGUGUGUGAGGCAGUGGAAGAUAAUCAGGUCUUUGGAAUGGAUUGAUGCUGGUCUCCGGGAGUGAACUGGGUCCCACAGAAGUGAGCCUACAAGGACAAGUGCUUCUGAAAUGCCUGUCACUUCCUGUGUCACCUUGGAACUCCUUGUAGCUGCCUUCUCCCCUGUAAUUGUGGGCCCCCCUGCCAACCGCCAUGUUGGUCCUCACCAGAGUGGAGUAGAGGCCAGCACCAUCCAGUGAGCUGAACAAACCUCUUUAGUUGAUACACUGUUGCUAUAGCAACAGAGAAAGGAAUAAGACGGAGUUCUCCAAUUUGUGAAGUUAUUCAAUAUCAGAAUAAUUCCAGUCUAUACUUCAUACAGAGAUUGACAAAUAAAUAUGCCAGGAAAUAAAUAGCUGCACUUC